AUGAGAUAGCUUAUUUUUUUGCUUCGAUUAAAUAAGUGACCACUUAGAAGAUAGUCUUAUAUUCGUCUGUUCUUGAACCUGUAUAAGGCGAAACUUGAUCGAGUAACUAAACAUGUAGAUAUUUAUCUUUUCUCUAUUAUGGACGGGAGUUCGAAUCUCCCCGCCUCCACAU
rnacentral:tmRNA from 1 species